rnacentral:lncRNA from 1 species
UUCGUCGACCAGAACAUCUCGGUGCAUUCGGUAUUAUAUCCCUCAUCUCUCCUCUCUUUCCUUUACCUUCUCUCUUCUCGUUCUUCCCAUGGUUCGUCUAGGGUUUUCAACGAAUGCGGAGGGUUUCUGUCCGAGGGUUUCGGUUCUUGUUUCACUUUUCCGAGUUUAAUUGUUUCUUGCUCCAAUGAGGGAGGGUUUUAGUUUAUGGGUUGGUUCUUCUAUUUCUUGAUUCGUAUUAUCGUUGUCUUUUUUAUUUGUUUUAGUUUAAAAAAGCUGAAACUAAGGGAAGUAACGCAAGCUUGGUCACUUGACCGAAUAGAUAAUGAAGGAGAACCUUGGUGCAGUGCCGGUGGACACGACGGUGAUUUGGACCACGUUUGGUUUUCGUUUUUCAUGUUUAUUUUUAAUUUUCACAAUGCUACCGAAAACAUGGUGCAGUUUUGCUUUCUUUAACCACAUAUAAAUGAAAUUUUUAACCAAAAAUAGGGCAGUAUGUGAUGGUAGGGUGGACCUUGUCGAUGUUGAUGAGAGGACU